AAAUGUAGCUUUAUCAACUCAGGUUAUUGAGGGAUGGCGAAAUUUCAAGUCGGGAAGGAGUCACCGAGUGGCACUUCUACAAAAGGAAUAACUCUCAGAUGCAGAAAAAGUGUUUAUACCGAUUCAUAGACAUGGCAGCCAUUGGACAUUGUUGGUUUUGGAUGUACAAACCAAACAAAUGCGUUUCUAUGACCCCAUGAACCGGACAUUUGAUGAAGAGGUGGUCAACAUCACAAGGUAUGAUUGUUGACUUAGUACAUGCCCUGUUCUGACACCUACCAGGA